rnacentral:rRNA from 1 species
AACGAACGCUGGCGGCACGCCUAACACAUGCAAGUCGAACGAGAUCUUCGGGUCUAGUGGCGCACGGGUGCGUAACGCGUGGGAAUCUGCCCUCUGGUUCGGAAUAACAGUUGGAAACGACUGCUAAUACCGGAUGAUGACGAAAGUCCAAAGAUUUAUCGCCAGAGGAUGAGCCCGCGUAGGAUUAGCUAGUUGGUGUGGUAAAGGCGCACCAAGGCGACGAUCCUUAGCUGGUCUGAGAGGAUGAUCAGCCACACUGGGACUGAGACACGGCCCAGACUCCUACGGGAGGCAGCAGUGGGGAAUAUUGGACAAUGGGCGAAAGCCUGAUCCUGCAAUGCCGCGUGAGUGAUGAAGGCCUUAGGGUUGUAAAGCUCUUUUACCCGGGAUGAUAAUGACAGUACCGGGAGAAGAAGCCCCGGCUAACUUCGUGCCAGCAGCCGCGGUAAUAC